GAAGUAAAAGUCGUAACAAGGUCUCCGUAGGUGAACCUGCGGAGGGAUCAUUACACAAAUAUGAAGGCGGGCUGGAACCUCUCGGGGUUACAGCCCUGCUGAAUUAUUCACCCUUGUCUUUUGCGUACUUCUUGUUUCCUUGGUGGGUUCGCCCACCACUAGGACAAACAUAAACCUUUUGUAAUUGCAAUCAGCGUCAGUAACAAAUUAAUAAUUACAACUUUCAACAACGGAUCUCUUGGUUCUGGCAUCGAUGAAGAACGCAGCGAAAUGCGAUAAGUAGUGUGAAUUGCAGAAUUCAGUGAAUCAUCGAAUCUUUGAACGCACAUUGCGCCCUUUGGUAUUCCAAAGGGCAUGCCUGUUCGAGCGUCAUUUGUACCCUCAAGCUUUGCUUGGUGUUGGGCGUCUUGUCUCUAGCUUUGCUGGAGACUCGCCUUAAAGUAAUUGGCAGCCGGCCUACUGGUUUCGGAGCGCAGCACAAGUCGCACUCUCUAUCAGCAAAGGUCUAGCAUCCAUUAAGCCUUUUUUUCAACUUUUGACCUCGGAUCAGGUAGGGAUACCCGC
rnacentral:rRNA from 1 species